rnacentral:lncRNA from 1 species
GGAGGUGGAGGACACGACCCUCAACCGUUGCUCCUGUAGCUUCCGAGUCCUGGUGGUGUCGGCCAAGUUCGAGGGGAAACCGCUGCUUCAGAGACACAGGUUCUGUACAGAGUAAUGAGAUGUGUGACGGCUGCAAACCAGGUGUUUUUUUCUGAGGCUGUGUUGACAGCUGCUAAUGAGUGUGUUGGUGUUUUGCUCGGCAGCUUGGAUCCUAGCAUGACUAUACAUUGUGACAUGGUCAUUACAUAUGGAUUAGACCAACUGGAGAAUUGCCAGACUUGUGGUACCGAUUAUAUCAUCUCAGUCUUGAAUUUACUCACGCUGAUUGUUGAACAGAUAAAUACGAAACUGCCAUCAUCAUUUGUAGAAAAACUGUUUAUACCAUCAUCUAAACUACUAUUCUUGCGUUAUCAUAAAGAAAAAGAGGUUGUUGCUGUAGCCCAUGCUGUUUAUCAAGCAAUGCUCAGCUUGAAGAAUAUUCCUGUUUUGGAGACUGCCUAUAAGUUAAUAUUGGGAGAAAUGACUUGUGCCCUAAACAACCUCCUGCACAGUCUGCAACUUCCUGAGGCCUGUUCUGAAAUAAAACAUGAGGCUUUUAAGAAUCAUGUGUUCAAUGUAGACAAUGCAAAAUUUGUAGUUAAAUUUGACCUCAGUGCCCUGACUACAAUUGGAAAUGCCAAAAACUCGAGUCUUUAAUUGUAAUGACUUUGUUUUAUCCACAGUUAAGCCUUUUCUCAUUACAUAUUUAUGUAUUUCACUGUCAUGUCAACAUGUCUGCAGAAUCACUGUAUGUAACAAACAGCCAUAUUUAAGACAUGCCUGGAUAAAUAAAAUUGGUAGGAAUGUUUUCUUGCCAUUAUAUUUAACGUUUCUUCUUUUUCCUUGACAAAUCUUGAUAAGUUUUUUUAUAUUAGUUUUAUUUUCUAGAAAACGUCUUAUGAAUUUCUCCCAUUUGCUCUAGCAUGCUUAUAGAAAAUGUCAGUGUUUCUUACAGCUCAAAUUUGUAUAGUUGUUUUAAAAUGCGGUCUCUUUCUUCUUCCCCUGGUACUUUUUUCUUUCUGUCUACUGAAGUUAGUUCUUAUACAUGGUCUUAUAUUUUGGCUGUCUUUUUUUCCCUAGGAACAUUCAUACAGGUUGAAUAUUCCUUAUCUGAAAUACUUGGGACUGGAAGUGUUUUUGAUUUUGGAGUUUGGAAUACUUUUUUUUUUUU